AGAGUUUGAUCCUGGCUCAGGACGAACGCUGGCGGCGCGCUUAACACAUGCAAGUCGAGCGAUGAAAUCUUGACAGAUCCCUUCGGGGUGAAGAUAAGAUGGAUUAGCGGCGGACGGGUGAGUAACACGUGAGUAACCUGCCUUAGACAUUGGGAUAGCCUCGGGAAACCGGGAUUAAUACCAAAUGAAAUCAUAGGUGCCCAUGCACUAAUGAUCAAAACUCCGGUGGUCUAAGAUGGACUCGCGUCCCAUUAGCUAGUUGGUGAGGUAACGGCCCACCAAGGCGACGAUGGGUAGCCGGCCUGAGAGGGUGAACGGCCACAUUGGAACUGAGAAACGGUCCAAACUCCUACGGGAGGCAGCAGUGGGGAAUAUUGCACAAUGGAGGGAACUCUGAUGCAGCGACGCCGCGUGAACGAUGAAGGCUUUCGAGUCGUAAAGUUCUUUUAUAUGGGAAGAUAAUGACGGUACCAUAAGAAAAAGCCCCGGCUAACUACGUGCCAGCAGCCGCGGUAAUACGUAGGGGGCUAGCGUUGUCCGGAAUCACUGGGCGUAAAGGGUUCGCAGGCGGAAAUGCAAGUCAGAUGUAAAAGGCAGUAGCUUAACUACUGUAAGCAUUUGAAACUGCAUAUCUUGAGAAGAGUAGAGGUAAGUGGAAUUUUUAGUGUAGCGGUGAAAUGCGUAGAUAUUAAAAAGAAUACCGGUGGCGAAGGCGACUUACUGGGCUCAUUCUGACGCUGAGGAACGAAAGCGUGGGUAGCAAACAGGAUUAGAUACCCUGGUAGUCCACGCUGUAAACGAUGAGUGCUAGGUAUCGGAAUAAUUCGGUGCCGCAGUUAACACAUUAAGCACUCCGCCUGGGGAGUACGUGCGCAAGCAUGAAACUCAAAGGAAUUGACGGGGACCCGCACAAGCAGCGGAGCAUGUGGUUUAA
rnacentral:rRNA from 1 species